UCUUUCUGUAUAAUUCAAGAGUCCAAAGAAAAACCCAAAAUAGUCAUAUCUGAGUCAGCUAAAAGUGACAGACCUGGAGUCAACUCUUAGGAGAAAUUAUGAAAGGGGGUGUUGCUGUAUAAGAAAUCUGUGGAGAAAUGUAUUGUUAUAAGUGUGAAAGAGUGUAAGGAUCUCAAUAUUCAGACCAAACCAAUCCCCAAAGAAGGAACUUCAAAAAAUUUACCAAGGAAGGAGUAAUUCUUACUAUUGUUAAAUAAGCCUCUUUUUCAUGAUCACAGAAUCAUGAGUAUAUCAUUUGCUAAAUUUCUUAUAUAAAAGGUACUGAUUCAUGGAUUUAAAAAGAAGUUAAUAAAUAUUUAGUCAAAACAUCA
rnacentral:lncRNA from 1 species